GACGAACGCUGGCGGCGUGCUUAACACAUGCAAGUCGAACGGUAAGGCCCUUCGGGGUACACGAGUGGCGAAUGGGUGAGUAACACGUGGGUGAUCUGCCCUGCACUUCGGGAUAAGCCUGGGAAACUGGGUCUAAUACCGGAUAGGAAGCCGGACUGCAUGGUCUGGGGUGGAAAGCUUUUGCGGUGUGGGAUGGGCCCGCGGCCUAUCGGCUUGUUGGUGGGGGGAUGGCCUACCAAGGCGACGACGGGUAGCCGGCCUGAGAGGGUGACCGGCCACACUGGGACUGAGAUACGGCCCAGACUCCUACGGGAGGCAGCAGUGGGGAAUAUUGCACAAUGGGCGCAAGCCUGAUGCAGCGACGCCGCGUGAGGGAUGACGGCCUUCGGGUUGUAAACCUCUUUCAGCAUCGACGAAGCGAAAGUGACGGUAGGUGCGGAAGAAGGACCGGCCAACUACGUGCCAGCCGCCGCAGUAA
rnacentral:rRNA from 1 species